UACGGAGGGUGCAAGCGUUACGUCGAUUCACUGGGUUUAAAGGGUGCGUAGGUGGGUCGGUAAGUCCGUGGUGAAAUCUCCGAGCUUAACUCGGAAACUGCCGUGGAUACUAUCGAUCUUGAAUACUGUGGAGGUAAGCGGAAUAUGUCAUGUAGCGGUGAAAUGCUUAGAUAUGACAUAGAACACCGAUAGCGAAGGCAGCUUGCUACACAGUUAUUGACACUGAGGCACGAAAGCGUGGGGAGCAAACAGG
rnacentral:rRNA from 1 species